GAUGAAGAACGUAGCGAAAUGCGAUAAGUAAUGUGAAUUGCAGAAUUCAGUGAAUCAUCGAAUCUUUGAACGCACAUUGCGCCCGCCAGUAUUCUGGCGGGCAUGCCUGUUCGAGCGUCAUUUCAACCAUCAAGCCCUGCUUGCGUUGGGGUCCUGCGGCUGCCCGCAGGCCCUGAAAACCAGUGGCGGGCUCGCUAGUCACACCGAGCGCAGUAAUACAUCUCGCUUUGGGCGUGCGGCGGGUUCUUGCCGUUAAACACCCCCUUUUUACCAAGGUUGACCUCGGAUCAGGUAGGAAUACCCGCUGAACUUAAGCAUAUCAAAAGCGGAGGA
rnacentral:misc_RNA from 1 species